rnacentral:rRNA from 1 species
UACGUAGGGUGCAAGCGUUAUCCGGAAUUAUUGGGCGUAAAGAGCUCGUAGGCGGUUUGUCGCGUCUGCUGUGAAAACUGGAGGCUCAACCUCCAGCCUGCAGUGGGUACGGGCAGACUAGAGUGCGGUAGGGGAGAUUGGAAUUCCUGGUGUAGCGGUGGAAUGCGCAGAUAUCAGGAGGAACACCGGUGGCGAAGGCGGCAUCCUGGACCAAUUCUGACACUGAGGAGCGAAAGCCAGGGGAGCAAACGGG